rnacentral:rRNA from 1 species
ACGAACGCUGGCGGCGUGCUUAACACCUGCAAGUCGAACGGAAAGGCCCUGCUUUUGUGGGGUGCUCGAGUGGCGAACGGGUGAGUAACACGUGAGUAACCUGCCCUUGACUUUGGGAUAACUUCAGGAAACUGGGGCUAAUACCGGAUAGGAGCUCCUGCUGCAUGGUGGGGGUUGGAAAGUUUCGGCGGUUGGGGAUGGACUCGCGGCUUAUCAGCUUGUUGGUGGGGUAGUGGCUUACCAAGGCUUUGACGGGUAGCCGGCCUGAGAGGGUGACCGGCCACAUUGGGACUGAGAUACGGCCCAGACUCCUACGGGAGGCAGCAGUGGGGAAUAUUGCACAAUGGGCGGAAGCCUGAUGCAGCAACGCCGCGUGCGGGAUGACGGCCUUCGGGUUGUAACCCGCUUUCGCCUGUGACGAAGCGUGAGUGACGGUAAUGGGUAAAGAAGCACCGGCUAACUACGUG